AGAGUUUGUAACUGCUGAAUUUGAGGAAGCUCAAGUCGACGAAAGUUAACACUUUUGAAGAAUGUGAGGACAGAACUUCAAGGAUUAGUAUAACACUGUCUGAGAGGUUUAGUCAUGUCCGAUUCAGAUGGAAUCCAUUGGUUUCAAGUGGAGACUCUUCGGGGUUCAGUUCGACAGGUUGUUUGAAAACUGAGUUGGUCAGUACACACAAUAUUGAUUUGUAUCUUUAGCAAUGAAGGGU
rnacentral:lncRNA from 1 species